rnacentral:rRNA from 1 species
UACGUAGGUUGCAAGCGUUGUCCGGAUUUACUGGGUGUAAAGGGCGUGUAGGCGGAGAUGCAAGUUGGGAGUGAAAUCCCGGGGCUCAACCCGGAACUGCUUUCAAAACUGCAUCCCUUGAGUAUCGGAGAGGCAAGCGGAAUUCCUAGUGUAGCGGUGAAAUGCGUAGAUAUUAGGAGGAACACCAGUGGCGAAGGCGGCUUGCUGGACGACAACUGACGCUGAGGCGCGAAAGCGUGGGGAGCAAACAGGAUUAGAUACCCCGGUAGUCUCU